AAAUAAAAAAAGAAGCUUCCUAAUCUCUCUCGAUUACCAUCAUUAGUAGUAGUAGUUUCUGCUUUUGUGAUUUUGGUGUUCUUUUCUUUAUUAUCAUUAUUUUGGGGUGCAAGUUUCCCAUUUUGAUGAUUUUGCUGUGAUUCAUGUUUCGGAUUUAUGGAUUUGAUUUCGUUUAGGUUAUGGGAAGUGGGGAAUGAGUCGAGCUUUUCAUUUUCUUUAGUGGGAUUUUACUGUUUUUCUACGUUUCUUUUCGACUCGAGGGAUGAAGCUUGAUUUUAUGUCGGCACUCGUGAACACCAUGUGUUUGGUGACUGGUCUGCAUGAAUUGUUAAUUGUCUCUUUGUUAUUGUUUGAGCGUCAAGCUUAUGUAUUCCCUCGACAUUGUUGUUCUUCGUAGCAAUUUCAACCCUGUUUGUGUAGAAUGGUGCCAGAAUUACCUGACUUGUUUUGGGAUUCUUUAUAACUUUCUUUGUUUCUCCGUUCAUGAUGACCCGUGUGCAGCAUUAAGGCAAUAGGAGUAAAGUACGAAGAAAUAACAGCUUAUGAGUGGAUUAGGGAAAUAACUUGAUUAAAAAUUGCAACUGAAUACGUAGCUAAAUUAAUGGGGGGGUUCCUAACUUGCAAUCCUAUUCUGUCUUUAAUAGUUUAAGUAUGAGUUUCUAUUGAGAACACCUUUAAAUAUUUGCAGAAUCAACUUUCAGAUUUUACAGCAAUAAUGCAGCAGCAUUUGUGAAUUCAUAUAUUUGACCAAGUGAAGAUAUUUUUACAUUAAAUACUAAAUAUUUCAUUACAGACAUACUAGAUUAAAUAGAUAAUUAUAGAGACUCGUCAAAUUACAAAAAUCCCUGUAAGCUAAAUCAAGAUGAAUCUAGAUGCAAAACAAAUAAACCAAGAAAGAUUAUGAUGUAGAGUUUUGGGGGAAAUAAGUUGUGUUAAUUAUUUAGAAAAUUUUCUGGCUACUUCAUUUAUUUGUGUGAGAAAAACGUAGCAAUUCUUAUUAGCAUUUACUUUAAUGGGAAAUGCACGUGCAAACUUUUUUGAGUAUAUGUUCACUGCUGUUUGAACUAUGGAUUGUUUUUUGAUAACAUUUCUUUAAAUCAGCAGGAGGGAUAACAAGUUUUGCUGUGAGAAUGUACAUGGGAUUAUCGGAUUAUGAUGUGAUCUAUAUAUGUGUUUUUUCCAUUUUAUGUAUAUGGAAGCUAUUACAUAAUAAUCUGUUAUCUGUGGGAGCUUGAUGAGAAUUUCUUGUUGAAGAAUCUAUGUUGAUCCCUACAUUUUAUCAUCUCUUUUUGGGAAGAAGUGAAAAGACACAAGCAACUAAUCAAAGAAACAAUCUGUGAUAAGCUACUCCACAGAUAUCAUGAAGCAAUGACUCUCUCAACCCAAGAGGAGGACUACAAAUUUAUGUUUUCUACGCUUCGAAUUUUUUUAAAAUUUACUUUUUACUUUAAGAAAAAGAAAAAUAAGUAUAGACCAACUGUGAAAUGCUUCUGUUUCCAAAACCCGAAAUAUGCUCAUGUUCUUAUUCUUAACUGUUUGUUUAAUAUGCUUCUGUUUCACAUUAAUUCCUUGGAUCGAUUUUGUGGCUUUGGUUUUACAGAUUGAAUUGUCAAAGUGUUGUGGAUAUGCAUGGUCAUGAGAACUGAAGAGCCGAAAGAUCCAUUGAAGGGGGUUGACUGGAAUGCCAUGGGCAGUGAAUUGCUGAAGGACCCUGUGGUGGUGCUAAAACAAUUAGUGCUGUUAAAAGUUGUUUUUUCAAUGAUUAAGUAUUAUAAAAACUACCGAGGCUAGCUUCUGUUACUGUGGAAAAUGUUAAAAGACACUUCGGCUGUUGCUGCACACCAGCCAAGAAUUUUCUCAGAUGCUGGACUUCUUGUGGAAGAGAUUCUGGAUAAAAUUUCAGGACCAUCAUCUUUGCAAGGAUAACCAUACCAUAAUACAAGAUAGACAUAAAACAAAUUAGCAAUGCACGCAAGAUGCACAAAGAACAGGACUUUUAUUGGGAGCUAACAAUUACCAGCAAGGAAAGAGUAGAAGGUUACUGAAUCUACCAGCUAUACAGGAUUUCUUUCCACAUCCAUAGUUUAUAUUCUUACAUUCCCAACAAACAUGUAUAUAUAUAGAAACAUGUAAACAUGAAAUUCAUAUCAACUUUAGGGCUUUCAGGGCUAAAGAAUAUUUUGGGCUAA